UACGUAGGGUGCAAGCGUUGUCCGGAAUUAUUGGGCGUAAAGAGCUCGUAGGCGGUUUGUUGCGUCGGCUGUGAAAACCCGGGGCUCAACUCCGGGCCUGCAGCCGAUACGGGCAGACUAGAGUUCGGCAGGGGAGACUGGAAUUCCUGGUGUAGCGGUGAAAUGCGCAGAUAUCAGGAGGAACACCGGUGGCGAAGGCGGGUCGCUGGGCCGAUACUGACGCUGAGGAGCGAAAGCGUGGGGAGCGAACAGG
rnacentral:rRNA from 1 species